rnacentral:rRNA from 1 species
UACGAGUGUGGCAAGCGUUGUUCGGAAUUACUGGGCUUAAAGCGUGCGUAGGCGGUCAUGAAAGUCAGAAGUGAAAGCCCUGGGCUUAACCCGAGAAUUGCUUUUGAAACUCCAUGACUAGAGACCGGGAGAGGUUAGCAGAAUUCCGAGUGGAGAGGUGAAAUUCGCAGAUAUUCGGAGGAAUACCAGUGGCGAAGGCGGCUAACUGGACCGGUACUGACGCUCAGGCACGAAAGCGUGGGGAUCAAACAGG